CAGAGGGUGCAAGCGUUGUUCGGAAUUAUUGGGCGUAAAGCGCGUGUAGGCGGCUUUGCAAGUCGGGUGUGAAAGCCCUCAGCUCAACUGAGGAAGUGCGCCCGAAACUGCAUGGCUUGAAUACCGGAGAGGAUGGCGGAAUUCCCCAAGUAGAGGUGAAAUUCGUAGAUAUGGGGAGGAACACCGGUGGCGAAGGCGGCCAUCUGGACGGCUAUUGACGCUGAGACGCGAAAGCAUGGGGAGCAAACAGGAUUAGAUACCCUGGUAGCCCAUGCCGUAAACGAUGAGAACUAGGUGUUGUGGGUGUUGACCCCCGCGGUGCCGUAGCUAACGCAUUAAGUUCUCCGCCUGGGAAGUACGGCCGCAAGGCUA
rnacentral:rRNA from 1 species